CCGGGCCGGGGGAGCUACCGCAGCCGCCACCCAGCGGAGCUGUGCCCCACGGAAUUGCGGUGCGAGGGCUCUCCUGGCCUGUACAGGACAACCCCAACAAUUCGGCAGCGUGCCUGAGAGCAGGGUCCAUGAUCUGAAGACGACGUCAGGAUUCAGAGGAAGAAGUUGACACCGACCAGACAGAAUCCUGUGUUUGAAUGGAAUUUAUGCAUCAUGUAUGAGGGGUAUGAAUAUGCAACAGGCUGUUGCUUUUAAGAGUUAAUCCUCUGUUGACGUGGGUCCUUUUUCAGGUUUAUGCUGCCCAGAAAGAGGCACCCAGACUGUCCAUAACUCUUUGCUCUUAUUGUCUCGUAUUGUCCUAAUCCCAAUUGUUCAAAUUUUAUUACUCUAAUUAUAUUGCUAUUUGUAUAACCAUUUUAUUACUAUUAAACUUUUAAAAUUUUAAAAACAA